AAGUCGUAACAAGGUCUCCGUAGGUGAACCUGCGGAGGGAUCAUUACAGAGUUCAUGCCCUUCGGGGUAGAUCUCCCACCCGUGUCAUCACACCUUUGUUGCUUUGGCGGGCCCGCCUCGGCCACCGGCUCCGGCUGGUGAGCGCCCGCCAGAGGACCCCCAAACUCUGAAAUUUAGUGUCGUCUGAGUCUAUAUAAUAGUUAAAA
rnacentral:misc_RNA from 1 species